rnacentral:sRNA from 1 species
AAAUGUUUCCUUGUUAGAAGAUGCAGAUCCAAAGACUUAUACGGACUUCGGCUACACCAUCAAAUCUUUGAGAAGUAAGAAGAAGCUUGGUUACUGUUUUGGAUUCAGAUAUGACUAGAGGUCAUGUGUAUGAUUGAGUAUAAGAACUAGAAUCGCAACAAGAUCCUAAAAGCUAAAGUAGUGUUUCCUUGUUAGAAGAUACAAAGACGAAGAUUCACACGGACUAUGGCAACACCAUCAAAACUUUGAGAAGCAAGAAGAAGCUUGGUUAGGGUUUU